rnacentral:rRNA from 1 species
UACUAGAGUAGCACUCGCAUAUCAAUAAGCGGAGGAAAAGAAACUAACAAGGAUUCCCCUAGUAACGGCGAGUGAAGCGGGAAGAGCUCAAAUUUGAAAUCUUCAAGGGUUUCCCUUGACGAAUUGUAGUUUAAAGAAGUGUUUUCUGUUGGAGUUUUGGUAAAAGUUCUUUGGAAUAGGACAUCAUAGAGGGUGAGAAUCCCGUAUUUGACCAUUAUUUCAGCUGUGUGAUACACUUUCAAAGAGUCGGAUUGUUUGGGAAUGCAGUCCAAAAUGGGUGGUAAAUUUCAUCUAAAGCUAAAUAUUGGCGAGAGACCGAUAGCGAACAAGUACCGUGAGGGAAAGAUGAAAAGAACUUUGAAAAGAGAGUUAAACAGUACGUGAAAUUGUCAAAAGGGAAGCGUUUGACACCAGUGUUGUUUUCUCGAAAAUCAAUUAAAAAUGAUGGGAUUUUGUGUUGUAUUGACUUUAUCAGCUUUCUGCACUUUUUUCUUAUCUUUUUUAAUGCACUUUUCGUUUAACAAGUCAACAUCAAUUUCUUUUGUUGUAAAAGAGUCAUUGGAAGGUGGCUUUUUCUUCGGAAAAAGUGUUUAUAGCCUUUGGCUUCUGCAAUCGGAGAGAUUGAGGUCUGCAGCGUAGAUCCUUCGGGGUUAGAUACAUUUGUGCUAAGCUAUAGUUCUUUAUAGACAACUUGUUGACUAUAAUCAAUCCUGUAACUUACUCGCUUAUGCUAUUUUACCUACGCUUAGGAUGUUGAUAGUCACAGCGUGUAC